AAGUGGUAGGAGAGCGUUCUAUUUGCGUCGAAGGUAUACCGGUAAGGAGUGCUGGAGCGAAUAGAAGUGAGCAUGCAGGCAUGAGUAGCGAUAAUUAAUGUGAGAAUCAUUAACGCCGUAAACCCAAGGUUUCCUACGCGAUGCUCGUCAUCGUAGGGUUAGUCGGGUCCUAAGUCGAGUCCGAAAGGGGUAGACGAUGGCAAAUUGGUUAAUAUUCCAAUACCAACAUUAGUGUGCGAUGGAAGGACGCUUAGGGCUAAGGGGGCUAGCGGAUGGAAGUGCUAGUCUAAGGUCGUAGGAGGUUAUACAGGCAAAUCCGUAUAACAAUACUCCGAGAACUGAAAGGCUUUUUGAAGUCUUCGGAUGGAUAGAAGAACCCCUGAUGCCGUCGAGCCAAGAAAAGUUUCUAAGUUUAGCUAAUGUUGCCCGUACCGUAAACCGACACAGGUGGGUGGGAUGAGUAUUCUAAGGCGCGUGGAAGAACUCUCUUUAAGGAACUCUGCAAAAUAGCACCGUAUCUUCGGUAUAAGGUGUGGUUAGCUUCGUACUAGGAUUUACUCCGAAAGCGAAGAAACUUACAACAAAGAGUCCCUCCCGACUGUUUACCAAAAACACAGCACUCUGCUAACUCGUAAGAGGAUGUAUAGGGUGUGACGCCUGCCCGGUGCUCGAAGGUUAAUUGAUGGGGUUAGCAUUAGCGAAGCUCUUGAUCGAAGCCCGAGUAAACGGCGGCCGUAACUAUAACGGUCCUAAGGUAGCGAAAUUCCUUGUCGGUUAAAUACCGACCUGCAUGAAUGGCGUAACGAGAUGGGAGCUGUCUCAAAGAGGGAUCCAGUGAAAUUGUAGUGGAGGUGAAAAUUCCUCCUACCCGCGGCAAGACGGAAAGACCCCGUGGACCUUUACUACAGCUUGACACUGCUACUUGGAUAAGAAUGUGCAGGAUAGGUGGGAGGCUUUGAGUAUAUGACGCCAGUUGUAUAUGAGCCAUUGUUGAGAUACCACUCUUUCUUAUUUGGGUAGCUAACCAGCUUGAGUUAUCCUCAAGUGGGACAAUGUCUGGUGGGUAGUUUGACUGGGGCGGUCGCCUCCCAAAUAAUAACGGAGGCUUACAAAGGUUGGCUCAGAACGGUUGGAAAUCGUUCGUAGAGUAUAAAGGUAUAAGCCAGCUUAACUGCAAGACAUACAAGUCAAGCAGAGACGAAAGUCGGUCUUAGUGAUCCGGUGGUUCUGUGUGGAAGGGCCAUCGCUCAAAGGAUAAAAGGUACCCCGGGGAUAACAGGCUGAUCUCCCCCAAGAGCUCACAUCGACGGGGAGGUUUGGCACCUCGAUGUCGGCUCAUCGCAUCCUGGGGCUGGAGCAGGUCCCAAGGGUAUGGCUGUUCGCCAUUUAAAGCGGUACGCGAGCUGGGUUCAGAACGUCGUGAGACAGUUCGGUCCCUAUCUGCCGUGGGCGUAAGAAGAUUGAAGAGAUUUGACCCUAGUACGAGAGGACCGGGUUGAACAAACCACUGGUGUAGCUGUUGUUCUGCCAAGAGCAUCGCAGCGUAGCUAAGUUUGGAAAGGAUAAACGCUGAAAGCAUCUAAGCGUGAAGCCAACUCUAAGAUGAAUCUUCUCUAAGCUCUCUAGAAGACUACUAGUUUGAUAGGCUGGGUGUGUAAUGGAUGAAAGUCCUUUAGCUGACCAGUACUAAUAGAGCGUUUGGCUUAUCU
rnacentral:rRNA from 1 species